rnacentral:rRNA from 1 species
AGAGUUUGAUCCUGGCUCAGCGUGAACGCUGGCGGCAUGGCUAAAACAUGCAAGUCGAACGAGAAAGUGGGCUUCGGCCCACGAUUAAAGUGGCGAAAGGACGAGUAAUGCGUUUCUAACGUGCCCCAAGGUUAGGGAUAGCUCGGGGAAACCCGGGGUAAUACCUGAUGACCCCGCAGCGCUGCAUGGCGCCGCGGGCAAAGGCUUGCUGCCUUGGGUUCGGGAAACGUCCUAUCAGCUUGUUGGUGAGGUAACGGCUCACCAAGGCUUUGACGGGUAGCGGGUGUGAGAGCAUGACCCGCCGUAUCGGGACUGAGACACUGCCCGGACUCCUACGGGAGGCUGCAGUAACGAAUCUUCCGCAAUGCGCGAAAGCGUGACGGAGCAAUGCCGCGUGCGGGAUGAAUCCCUUCGGGGUGUAAACCGCUGUCAGGGUGUAGGGACACAAUGACCGCACCCAAAGGAAGGACCGGCUAACUUCGUGCUAGCAGCCGCGGUAAUACGAAGGGUCCAAGCGUUACGCGGAAUCACUAUGGGCUUAAAGGGUGCGUAGGCGGACCCGUAAGUGUCUUGUGAAAGACCUCGGCUCAACCGAGGCAAGUCUUGGCAUACUACGGGUCUUGAGGUCGGCAGAGGCUGCCGGAACUCUAGGUGUAGCGGUGAAAUGCGUAGAUAUCUAGAGGAACGCCCAAGGCGAAGGCAGGCAACUGGGCCGAUUCUGACGCUGAGGCACGAAAGCGUGGGUAGCGAACGGGAUUAGAUACCCCGGUAGUCCACGCCGUAAACGAUGUGCACUAGAUUGUGGCGGCUCUGACGUCGUCACGGUCGAAGCUAAAGUGUUAAGUGCACCGCCUGGGGAGUACGGCCGCAAGGCUAAAACUCAAAGGAAUUGACGGGUCCUCACACAAGCGGUGGAGCAUGUGGUUUAAUUCGAUUCAACGCGAAGAACCUUAUCCAGGGUUUGACAUGUACGGAUUAACUCAUGGAAACAUGAGCCACGCCCUUUGGGUGGAACGUACACAGGUGCUGCAUGGCUGUCGUCAGCUCGUGCUGUGAAGUGUCGGGUUAAGUCCCUUAACGAGCGAAACCCCUGCCGUUAGUUGCUAACAGGUUAUGCUGAGGACUCUAGCGGGACUGCCGGUGUCAAACCGGAGGAAGGUGGGGACGACGUCAAGCCCUCAUGGCCUUUAUGCCCUGGGCUACACACGUGCUACAAUGGCGUGAACAGAGCGAAGCGAUACCGCAAGGUGGAGCAAAUCGCAUAAAACACGCCCCAGUUCGGAUUGGAGUCUGCAACUCGACUCCAUGAAGGUGGAAUCGCUAGUAACCGCGUAUCAGCUACGACGCGGUGAAUACGUUCCUGAGGAUUGUACACACCGCCCGUCAAGUCAUGGGAGCCGGGAGUACCCGAAGCCGCACCGAUUCAGGUGUGUCGACGGUAAGCUCGGUGACUGGGACUAAGUCGAAACAAGGUA